GGGCGCGCGUGUGUGUCCGCCGUCGCGAGUCGCCUGGGGUCGUCUGAAGGCAGUCGUCCGUCGGGGCUGCAAGCUUUGCCCCCCCGCUCCCCCCCCCCUCCGGAGCCGUCCUCGGCUGGCUCUUUUCGCUGCAGAGUCGCCCUCCGACGCCCUCGCGCCCGUUUCCUUCGGCCCAACGCACACGCGGAGUCCGGAGGAAAAAAAAAAAUCCCCUGGCUGGAGUUGGACGAAGGGAGAACUUGAUGACUUGGCGUUGGCUUCGGGAUUCCUUUCGGCGACUGACAGCGGGAGGAGGAGAAGCAGGAGCGGAGGGGGAGGAGGAAGGAGGAGGAGGAGGAGAAAGCGGGCGUCGAGGGAACCCUGGCUUGAGGCCAAUUCAUCCUUAACUGAAAAAUAGGAAACAAUUCCAUGAAGUCAAAUAUGUGGACAAGAAAGUGAAUUAUUCCUCUUGAAAACAAACAACUAUUUUGAUCCUUGCUAUAAAUCUGAGCUUAUCACGUUUAAAACAUAUGCGCAGUGGAUGAUUUCUCAUCAUGAAUCGUGCUUUUAGCAGAAAGAAAGGUAAGCAGUUUCAAUUCAAUGAUA